GCCCAGAUGAGCGCCAGUGGUCUGGUGUUCUGCCUUCAAUCCCGUAGCUGACGGCAAUCAGAGUGGUUUGAUUCCAUCUUCUGGGCG